CCAUAACGGAAAGUUAACGUUUGAUUUAACUAAAUACAAAGUCUGAGCAGAGGCAGCUUAACGUUAGUCACUCUGAAUUUAAAAACCUAACAUUUUGUGUUUUAGAAGUGAGGUAACAUUACCUUGCCUGCUUCGUCUUCCUUUGCUGAUUGAUAAUUUACGAGCCUUCUUUUCGCCACCGAAUUGCAAAGAAGGUUAAACGUUAGUUAACAGCUAACGUUAACUAACGUAACCAUCGAACAUCGUAAAACAUUAACAUCGGAAGACUUUAGCAUUAUUAGCAUUUCCCUUGCGUUUUUUCCCCCGUUAACAGUUCCUGGUCGAAACUUAACGUUACCUGUGGCACAUGAAAUCGGAAGUUAUCGAUCGGUUAGCUAACGUCCCAAAACAACCUUAGCGAUUUAACGUUAACGUUCCUAAUGUUAGCUAGUAACGUCGAUUAGGAAAAACACGCCGUUUUGCAGUUGCAAGCUAGCUAGCUGUCAUUAAAUAUUUAAUACCUCCCUCGGCUCGUCCGCAUAAGGUGACGGAAUAGUUCUACUGUUGUUUCCCUUCAACUCGCCAGAGCUGUUUGCUACUGCGGUUGACAUCUCAGUUAGCUGGCUAUAAGCUAGCUGGUUAGCUUGCCGAUUGUACAUUGCAUUGCGAAGUCCUGACAUUUUACGUUAACUAAUCAGAUGCGCUAAAUGAAACAUUGGGUGUUUGAGACAUGCAGUGCCAGCACCAAGGAACAAUUUUCAUAAACUAGAUUCAUAACUCAAUGCACAGUCGGCAUAACGUUACUUCCUCACCUUUGAUUCGCCUUGCUUUAGCACAACAGGAACGAUGGCGUCUGUGUUGUUGACUGCUGUUGACACAGGGUCAGGUGAUAUAGCCUACAAUGACUCGGAGGGAGUGGUUUACAAGAUUGCUUUCAGCAAACGGUGAAACACAGGAAGACCAUGAAGAUCUCUGUGUACAAUCCAGAAAAGCUCUGACCACUGAAUGGCUUAAAAUGAGUUGAAGUCCCUGUGCACUCACAAGUAAACACAUGUUAAGUAAUUUUAAACUAUUAGAAGUAGAACAGUUGAAAACAAAAACAACUACAGAGAAGCAGAAAUUUAGGUCAUUUGUAAAAUGUAUGGAAUGAAAAAGACACAAGAAACUAGCUAUAGUAACAUCAUGAGAGCUGCAAGUGUAUUCCCUGUGGAAAAUACCAUGUUUUUUAGGCAUUACCACUGCUAGAUUUGUCAGUGAGUUUGGGAUAUUGGCAAAGGCUGCAUAAAAAGCAGCCCACAUCAGCCAGUGAAUCCAGCUGUAAACAAAAGACACCUUUUAUCUUUUAAUGUCUGGAAUAUAAGUCAUGAAUAAAACAGAUAUACAGUGGAUAGUACAGGGUACAACACUGUUGCAGUUGAGUUGCCUCAUUUUUUAGAUUAUACAUUGUGUACUAUUUGAAGUUGCAGUUCUCCUCCUGAAAUGUUAAUUCAUCCAUCCAUCCAUCUUCUUCCGCUUAUCUGGGGCCGGUGGCAGUAUUCUGAGGCGUUCCCAGGCCAGAUGAGAUGUUAAUUCAGUAAUUUUGUUUCAUAAAGGUAGCAGUUCAGCCUG